GAGACUGGGACCCUCUAGGUCUUGGGCAAGGGAGGAUGUGAGUGGGCAGGGCAGGUGCCCAGGGCUGUGGUCAGUGUAACUGGAGCUGGCUUGCUCUCAGGAGCCUGAAUAAUGCAUUGGGGAGAGCCAGGCUGCGGGCUCAGAAGGCGGGCUUUUGCAUGGGAGACCUGCGAGCAGAGAGGCUUCCGUCCUGGUUCUGCCACUUGCCAACUCCACGCCCUCAGGUGGCUUCAGAGCCUCAGCUUCCUCAGCUGGGAAAUGGAGACAGUGAGAAGCCCUACUCAGACGAGGGGCGAGGAGCUGAGCGGCAAAGGCUGUGGCUGCUGUCCACCUGAGGGAAAACAAAGGGCAGGGGGUUCAUUCUUUCUGAGCCCAGAGAUGCCGACACCUACUCCUUCCCCUCCUGGAGCCUGUUUCAAAUUGAG
rnacentral:lncRNA from 1 species